AUGGAAUCCUGGGAAUCUGUUCCUCUGCCCUUUCUUGAAAGUGAUGGAGACUUCGCUUCUGAACCUGGGGUGAUGGUUGUAGCAGAAGGGGGGAAACCAAGCGAAAGAGUUAUCCAAGACCAGUGACAAAAGUCAGGAAGACUGCUGAUGGCCCAGGAUGCAGAGAGUGAUCUUGACAAUUUCCAUAUCUAACUAAGCUCUGGGUGCUCUACAGUGCUUGUUUCAGCCUCCUUUAUGGCUGUUGGAACAAAUUGCCCUUGUCUGCCCAUUAUGCUUGGGUUAGAUAUUUUUUACAUGCUUGGAGUAGACAUUCCCCUGGAUAACCAACAGGUUUAAAACCUGCUGGCCACCAUCAAUAUGAGUCAGCCUGUUUGCCAAGACAACAAGACUUGGCUAUCAUCUCUGGGCAUGCUACAACUUCUUGAAGCCACAGGCAAGAGUUCAAGAGUUAGGUGACAAAUGGACACCAAAG
rnacentral:lncRNA from 1 species